GACGGAGGAUGCAAGUGUUAUCCGGAAUCACUGGGCGUAAAGCGUCUGUAGGUGGUCAAGUAAGUCAACUGUUAAAUCUUGAGGCUCAACCUCAAAAUCGCAGUCGAAACUAUUCGACUAGAGUAUAGUAGGGGUAAAGGGAAUUUCCAGUGGAGCGGUGAAAUGCGUAGAGAUUGGAAAGAACACCGAUGGCGAAGGCUCUUUACUGGUCUAUUACUAACACUGAGAGACGAAAGCUAGGGUAGCAAAUGGG
rnacentral:rRNA from 1 species